rnacentral:rRNA from 1 species
GACGAACGCUGGCGGCGUGCUUAACACAUGCAAGUCGAGCGGAGCGGCGAACGGGUGAGUAACGCGUGAGUAACUGCCCCCCUCUCUGGGAUAACAGUUGGAAACGGCUGCUAAUACCGCAUACUUAUCGAUGCCUUGCGGUGCAUUAGCUCGUUGGUGGGGUAGUGGCCUACCAAGGCGACGACGGGUAGCCGGCCUGAGAGGGCGACCGGCCACAUUGGGCUGAGAUACGGCCCAAACUCCUACGGGAGGCAGCAGUGGGGAAUAUUGCACAAUGGGGGAAACCCUGAUGCAGCAACGCGCGUGCGGGAUGACGGCCUUCGGGUUGUAAACCGCUUUCAGCCAUGACGCGGUAGUGGCAGAAGAAGCACCGGCUAACUACGUGCCAGCAGCCGCGGUAAUAC